rnacentral:rRNA from 1 species
AUAAGCGGAGGAAAAGAAACCAACAGGGAUUGCCCUAGUAACGGCGAGUGAAGCGGCAACAGCUCAAAUUUGAAAUCUGAUCUCUUUGAGGUCCGAGUUGUAAUUUGUAGAGGGUGCUUUGGCGUUGGCUGCGGUCUAAGUUCCUUGGAACAGGACGUCAUAGAGGGUGAGAAUCCCGUCUGUGGUCGCAUGUCUUCGCCGUGUAAAGCCCCUUCGACGAGUCGAGUUGUUUGGGAAUGCAGCUCUAAAUGGGAGGUAAAUUUCUUCUAAAGCUAAAUACUGGCCAGAGACCGAUAGCGCACAAGUAGAGUGAUCGAAAGAUGAAAAGCACUUUGGAAAGAGAGUCAAACAGCACGUGAAAUUGUUGAARGGGAAGCGCUUGCAGCCAGACUUGCUUGCAGUUGCUCAUCCGGGCGUUUGCCCGGUGCACUCUUCUGUAGGCAGGCCAGCAUCAGUUUGGGCGGUUGGAUAAAGGCCUCUGUCAUGUAUCUUCUCCGGGAGACCUUAUAGGGGAGGCGUAAUGCAACCAGCCUGGACUGAGGUCCGCGCAUCUGYUAGGAUGCUGGCGUAAUGGCUGCAAGCGGCCCGUCUUGAAACACGGACCAAGGAGUCUAACAUUUAUGCGAGUGUUUGGGUGUCAAGCCCGAGCGCGCAAUGAAAGUGAMCGGAGGUGGGAACCCUAGGGUGCACCAUCGACCGAUCCUGAUGUCUUCGGAUGGAUUUGAGUAAGAGCAUAGCUGUUGGGACCCGAAAGAUGGUGAACUAUGCUUGAAUAGGGUGAAGCCAGAGGAAACUCUGGUGGAGGCUCGCAGCGGUUCUGACGUGCAAAUCGAUCGUCAAAUUUGGGCAUAGGGGCGAAAGACUAAUCGAACUAUCUAGUAGCUGGUUCCUGCCGAA